UACAACAUAGUGUUAAUGCACCAAAUUCCAUUAGAACUCUGCAAUUAAGCACACUUGAGAAAUAGUAGUACUGGGAUGGGUGCCCAGGAAGUCCUCGUGUUUUAC
rnacentral:rRNA from 1 species